rnacentral:misc_RNA from 1 species
GUUGCAUCGUUGUUGAUGACAUUCGUCCCAAGGUGAUGUGGUGUCAUGUUGCUUGUGUAUCUUAGUUUUAGCUUUCGAGCUUGAAACAUGUGGAUAAUCGAUUGGUGACAGACAUCACUCCCUUGGUUGAUGAAAGUCGUCCAAUGAUGUGGUGGUUUGUUUGUUUCGUUCUCGCAUCGUUCGGUGCAUUCUGUGGUCAUUCUGGCUGUUAGCGGCUUGCUUGGCAUUUGUGCUUGGUGGGUUGCUACUAGUUUGGGUGUCUUCGGGGAUGUUUGCCGUAAAGGUGCAUGAGUGGUGUUUGGUUUGUUACGGGUGGUUGGCUCUUUGCUUGCGCAACAACUUCCACCCGGCAUACCUCUUCAGUCUUGUGUCAAUGCUUGUAUUGCAUUGAAUGCAUGACGGGUUUCUUGUGUUGCAUGCCUAAUUAAUGGUAUCGUUUGAUGAAUUGGUUUCCUUUUUCGUCUUGCCUCGCCUACGCGAUGUGAGAUGAACCUUGAAGCAGCCUUUGUGAUCCACACUUUUGAUGCAUAAGCAUUUAUUUUGUGGCUCACUAAUUGUUGCUCAGUCUCAUGGAUAUGGAACCUGGUGUGGGCAUGGAAUCUUAAUGGUUCCUUGUUUGCCCAAGUUUAGCUUUUCUACAACGAUUGUCUAUCA